AUCAAGAGCACUCUGAUAGACCUCAGAGCAAUCUGUUAAAGCCUGCUUUACAGAUGCAUCUGAACUUGUUUCGAGCAAUUUGGGGAUGAGCUUCAAUACUUCAUUGGCGCUCAAUGAUGCUAUGUCAAGUGCACUUUUUGUCAAGCUUUGCAUGUCACUUGCUGGGGCUGAUCCUAAAGCUUCUUUGCAGAAAUCCUUGUAUAAGGUUUUGUCACAGGAUUGAUUUAACAAUUCUGAGGCUUGGUGACUAGUAGAAAUCAUGGCAAAAAAUAGGGCAAAGAAAAAGAUUUUCGAAGACAUGAUGGUUCGUGGGAUUUUUCUCUCUCGCCAAUUUUUCUUUAUUUGCCUUCUCGUAUAUGUGUCAAUGAAAAUCUUUCUCUUGGCGAAUUUUUCUUUUGCCUUCUUAUUUUCGAAGACAUGAUGUUUCGUGGGAUUUUUCUUUCUUGCCAAUUUUUCUUUAUUUGCCUUCUCGUAUAUAUGUCAAUGAAAAUCUUUCUCUUGGCGAAUUUUUCUUUUGCCUUCUUCUUGUAUUUGUACUAAACAAAAGUUUGGGUAUUUUAGGUUGUUUUUAACUAUUUUCUAUUUUUGGGAAGGUUGUUAAAGAAAUAAGACGAGAAUAAGGAGGUAAAAAAACAUGUGGAGAACCAAUUAACAGGUAAAAGUAACAGAAUGAUCUAUUGAUUCUCAAAUUACAAAAGUCCAAUGUUAUUUCUGGUUUCUGGAUUGUCUAUAUAUGGCAGUUUUAUUUCACAAAGUUAUCUUUUGCAAUUGAGUGGAUCGUAAUAAUCCCAAUAACUAUGGAAGUGUAUGAACAUUAUUAAACAAAAUUGUACUUUACAACGUGUUUUAAAUUGAGAUUAUUUUGACCAACAACGUGUUUUAAAUUGAGAUUAUUUUGACUAAUAAAAUAUUGGUUGAAGUGGUAAACGACUUUAAUCCCGUAAGGAUAAGAAUACAAAUUUGAUAUCCAAGAAGAACAUUUUACUGGGAGGACCAAAAAUCUUUACACGAUCAGGGGGAUGAUUACACCUCCUAGUUAUAUAAAAAAAAAAAAAAAAAAAAAAAAAAAAUUGAGGUUGAAGUUAUUUGGUCAAUAUCUCUCCUGCUAAAGCAUAUGAGAAUAAAUUCUUCGUAAGAAGUAAUAAAACUCAAAAUGUGGAAGUGUUAAUUUCUAUAUAAAUAAUUCAGAAAUAAAUGCUUUUAUUUUUGAAUAAAAAUUUUAUAAUAGCAAGCAUCUAUAAUUUUGGGAAUGGAUGUUAAGAAAAAAUGCCAUGGUAAUAAUUUUUUAAGUUAAAAUCAGAGACAAAUUAUACGACGUAUAUAUGUAAUCUUAUUAUCAAACUAUUGUAAUAUUUGAAAUGAUAUUUAAAUGUUAGGCAAGAAAUAAAAAACUCAAGCUGGAGAAAUAUUUGUACUAUUUUUAUUAUAUUUAUUGGUAUGAGAAAAUAUGUUAAAUAUGUGAAUUCGCCAUGAUUCCUUAACGCUACCCUAAUGAAUUUACCAAUAUAAUUUGUAUAAAAGAUUUAAUUACAGUGAAUGACAACACUUGAAAGAAAUGAAGUGUAUGUUUGAUUUUUGUUCAAAUACGCAGUAAAGAGUCAAAUUUGAUGCCUAAUGAUGUAAUCAAAUGCAAUAUGGCAGAUACAAGAAAAGAAAACUAAUGGAUGCAAGUAAACGACAAAUCUGGAAAUUGAUGAAAGAAACUUGAAAUUCUCAAAUAAAAUCUCAAAUUAUCACACAAAACACUCAAUUAACACGAAAGAUAUGGUUUUGAAUGAAUCCAAACUCAAUUGAAAGGAGUCAAACCCAAACAGCUCCAAAAUUCACCAAAUAAUAUGGAACCCCAAGAUCAACAUGGAAUUUAGAACUCUCCACCAAUUUGAACCAGUAGAAUUAACCCCCAAGCGAUCAUGAUUUUGAUUUGUUCUUAUACCUAAGAACUCAAUCUAAAAGAACUUAAAGAGAAAAUCCCAAAAUAUCCCUUUUACACGCAAUUUGAAUUAGACGUUCAAAAACAUAAGAAAUAUGAAUUGAAUCUGAAUAGCAAUUGAACAAAUCAAUUAUAAUCCAGACAACACCUUAUGCACGAAGAUAAAAGAAGUCUUAAACCUCACUUUCAUUGAUCUAAAAUUAUCCAAAAUUUUAUAUCUCUCAAAACAAAGAAAGCUAAUCCCUUUACAUAGAGAAGGGAUGUACAAAUUAAUUAAAUAAAAUUAAAACAAUAAUUAAAGCCAUAAAGUGGAUGAGUCUUCCAUAGCUCCCUUAACUCUUUAUGUUCUAUUACCUUCUUAUCUCUUCAAGUUCCAGUGAUCCAAAAUAAGCACAAAUGAACUGUCCAACCGAAAUAUAUGGGUCCUAAAAUGAGUUUUGAGCUAAAAGCCCAAAAAUUUCAAGAUUGCCAAAACAGGCCUAAUGAUGUCAUUACUUCAUAAAAUUUCCCAUGUAUAAAUAUAGCCCAAAAUGAACUCCAAACUAACACAAAUGCAUUUUAAAUAAUUUAGGAAUUAUUUUAGCCCAUAUUUUAAAUAAAAGCCCAAACAGUCUAUAAAUUUUUAUACCUGGACAUUUUCCUGUUUUGACUCAUUUUGCGCUCAUAACUUGUAUUGUAUCAAAAAGCUAAUCACGUAGAAACUAAAUAAUUAUAUCUGGUACACGUGAAAAAUAAAAUGUUUGAUAUAUAUGAAAAAUAUUCACAAAUUAAUUUAAUUACAUUGUUCUCUGAUAUUGUAAUAUGUUAAAUGUGUAAUUAUAUACAAUUCUAUUGAUAAUAAAAAUAUUAAGAUUUAAUUCUGUAGAGUAUAUAACGAAAAUUCAAUGUUGGAUUAAUUUUAAACGUCAAAAGGAAAUUUGAUACGGAUAAAAUGGAGUUAAGAUAGGCUUAAAUCAAAAAUUUCAAAGAAAAAUAUAAACAAAUAUAUAUAUAUAUAUAUAUAUAUNNNNNNNNNNNNNNNNNNNNNNNNNNNNNNNUUUUUUUUUUUUUUUUUUUGGGAUAUUUUGCAUCUCCUUUUCUUAGCUCAAGAGAAUGAGAUGUUUUCCUGAUUCCGCUGUAUUAUUUUUUUGUCAAUUUUCUUUUAGCGUUUUUCAACUAAUUACGGGUGUGUUGGGGAAGCCUAUGGUUUGAGGUAAAUUCUUGAAAAUACUAAACUUUUUCUGGUAUUUUUAAUCCUAAUCAAAAAAUUUUUGUUGCUGACAAAAAAUAAAAUAAAAUAAAAGAUGAUAAGAAAAUUGCAUAUUUUAUCCAAAUAAUAAUAGAAUUGCACGUUUCACACAACAAAUAGGCAUAUAAUUAAUAAGUUAGGACAUAUCCAAAAGCCUCAAGAGAACGAUUAUUAUUGUAAAAUAAAUAAAUAAAGCAAUACGUUCUUUAAUUUAAUUUUGGUGACUCUGAACUCUCCACAAAUGGAACCAUUUCAACCUCACCUAGGAAAAAAUUCAAAGUCUUCAAUUCCUGAUUCUUCAAGUCAUACCGUAGCAAUAAAGAUAAUGAAUGUGACUUCUCAAGUAUAAAAAAUGCAUUAUUCUCAAAAGAAAAGUGUGCUGAAACCGAGUAUAUUGUCAUCUGUUGGAUGGUAUCAAUUAGGUCAAAGAACUUGUCGCCCAUAUUCUUUCAUUACCCAAACAUCUACAUAAGGAGAUUGAUCUCAUAAACACAAAUUGAGGUUACGAAAGAAAGGCACCCUUGCAGAACAUUUAACUCAAACAUUGACAAGACCCUGUUUCUUACAGUUGGGAAGUUGCAGUUGUAAUGUUUUCUCAUCUGCUAAGUUAAAAGCAACAAUAACCUUGCUGAAAUUUCCCAAUUCUAAAACCCAGUGGAAAGCUCCAUGCGCUAAAUUUCCCAGCUUUACUAAGUCUAAUUUUGAAGUUAAAAUCUCUGAUCUUUCGUAGAGAAUUAGAUUUCAGUGAAAGAACAAUGAGCUAUUUUAAAUGGUCAUCGUCGCUAUAUGCACAUUGUAUAACUUUAUAAUCAUCAGUAGCAGCGUCGUAACCUAAUCCAUAAGAGUAAGAGACAUUAAAGAACUAUUUUUAGGGUUUUGGCAAUUCUCUAGUCGAAGGUUCCAUAUGAUAAUGGAAUAGUAACGACUUGGAUUCGAGACAAUGUUAUUACUAAAAAGAUACCAUGGAAGAAACUUCGAGGCAAUGGCUCUGGUUUUCCUUCGAACUUUGGAAUAAGGAGUUGGAUAAGAGACAUGUAACAAUAUCAAACCAUCACAAGAACAUAAAAUCCUGCAAUUCUUGUAAUUUAAAAAUCGCAGCUGUUGCUUCAAGAGAUAUUUAAUUGGCAUAGGUUCUUCUAAAUCAUUAACAUCAUAAAAAUAUGAACCACAAAAGAAUUUGGAUGAAUCAACUUGGGAUUGGUGGUGGAGGUGUGAUUUGAUGAAGUUUGGACUAUAGAUUAAAGAAUGACAUGAUUUUGAUAUACAUUUUACCUUUAGUUUUAAGAAUAUCUCCGCUACAAUAUCUUCAGUUACUCUGAUUUCCAUGGCAGCGUGGAUGUUGAGAUUCUCUCUCGAUGGAAUUUUAUGUAAUUGCUAAUUAGGGUUUGACUGCCGGAAUUCAAUUCCCAUCCUAAUUAAAAAUUAUUUAUAGCUUGAUAUAAUCAUGGAAAGUUUAAAAAAAAAGAAAUAUAGACCGAUUUAAGCAAUUGAAUCCCCUUAUUCAAUAUGGUAACUUGACGUGUUAGACUUACCAAAAAUAGUUUAUAUAGGAGUAAAUUAUUAUUUAGUACAUUUAAUUUAGUGAAAUUAACUAUUUAAUCUCUAUCUUUUAAAAAAUACAUAAAUUGUUGAGAAGUAACACAAAAUUAACUAUUUAGAGCGAUCUUUUAGUCGUUGCUUCACAAAUUCAUCUGAAAUUGUGUUGAGCAUUCCGGUGAUAGCUUUGGAGAUUUCAGUUGCACUCAAUGAUGCUAUGUAAAGUGCAUAUUUUGUCAAGGUUGGCGGGCCACUUGUUGGGCCUACUGUUAGAGCUUCUUUGCAAUAGUUAUUGUAUAAUGUUUUUUCACAAGAUUGAUUUAUUAAAUCUGAGCCCUGUUGGUGUCAUGGCGAAAAAUAAGGCAAAGAAAAAGAUUUUGGAAACAUGAUGUUUCACGGAAUUUUUUUCUCUCACUAAUUUUUCUUUAUUUUCCUUCUUGUAUAUAUGUCAAUGAAAAUCUCUCUUGGCGAAUUUUUCUUUUGCCGUCUUUUUGUAUUUGUGCUAAACAAAGGUUUGGGUAUUUUAAGUUACGUUUAACUAUUUUCUAUUUUUUGAUAGGUUCUAUUUUAAGGUGUUUGUAACUAUUUUGUAUUUUUGGAUAAGAGCAUAAAAAAAAAAAAACAAAUUAAUAGGAUAAAAGUAAAAAAAAAAAAAUCAUAAUAAUGACACAUUUAUCUCACAAUGUUAUCUUGUACCAUGAAUAUUCCUAUUUGACAAUGUUUUUUUUUUCGGAUAUUAGGUGAAGGAGAAUUCGAACCCGAAUCUAUUGUCGGGUCAUAUAUAUACACCUACUACUAGGCUAUACCUUGGUAUGCCCUAUUUAACAAUGUUAGUUUUUUUAGUGACUAUUAAUUGUUCCGGUAACUUUUAUGGAAAAAAACUUGUCUAAAUUGGGUCUAUUAUCCAACUUAUAGACCAAACCAAUGAAAUUAAAGAUUUUCUAAAAAAUGUUUCGAUUUUAUCUUUUUUUUUUUCAAGUGUGGUCAGAAAUAUACUCUUUUCAAUUAAAAAUCUUUAAUUUCAUUGAUUUGGUCCAUAAGUCAAUCCACAAUAAUUUUCCAUCAAUAGAACUCAACCAAAAUCAUAGAAAUUAAAGAGGGAGCUCUAAUUUGGAAUAAAGGUCAAUCCGGUACCUGAACUUGUUUCGCAGGAUAAAAAAAAAAAGUCAAAUUUGACUUUUGGGGCAAUUUAGCCUUUAAACAUGUAUAAAAUUAUUAAAAAGAUCUGAUUUUACUUUUUAAGCCAAUUUAACUCCUGAACUUAUUUGAAAUAAUUAAAAAAAUCAUAUUUGACAUUUUGAGUCAAUUUAAUAUCUAAUUCUUCACUGUACUUAUAAUGUAAAAAUUAUUAAAUAAAAACUAUAGUUGGGAUCGAGCCGACUAAUUUAUUAAAAAGUUAAUUAAUUAUAAAAUGUAGGAAAAUGAUAAAUGAAGUACAUUGUAUCUCUCUUUACAUUGAUUGAUAAUUUUGAAUUUAUAAAUAUAUAUUAAUUUGAACAUUUUAAAAUCAACCUUUAUUACUGGGUUAUCGCUUAUGAAAUAUAUGCAUUUUUCAUGUUGAAUAAAUUGAAGUUAUACUGCAUAUGUUUAUAAAUUUAUUAUAUUACAAGAAAUGAUGUUUUAUGAAUUUUAAAUUUAUAUUCAUAAGUGUUGAAAAAGUUUAAUAAGAGUGUUCUUAGUGUUGGACAAAAAGAGAUAAAAAAUCAAUCAUGUUAAAUUAAAUAAAUUAUUAAUUUAUAAAAAUCAAAAUAAGCUCAAGAGUUAAAUUAACUUAAAAAAGUGAAAUCAGAUCUUUUUAAUCAUUUUAUAGAUGUUGAAGGGCUAAAUUGGCCUAAAGGUCAAAUCUAACAUUUUUUAUUCUGUUAAACAAGUUCAUGGACCAAAUUGAUUUUUAUUCCCUCUAGUUUCUAAACAUGCAUGUGGGAGUAAAAAAUCUCAUUUUUCAAUUUUUAAUUAACAACUUGAUUUUUUUAUUUAAUUAAAAUGCAUUUCAAAGCUAAAUAGCAAGUUUAGAUCGACUUACUAGUGAUUUAGUGCAAGAAACAAGAGAAACUAGAAAAAUUUAAAAAAAAUUAUAAAAUCAAAUGUUAAUAUGGAUUCAUUUCCAUAAAUGAUUGUUCACAUAAGAGUUCAAUUUUUGGCGGAGAGAUUUGAAAAUGUUAAAAUAAUACUGGAAAUUUGGCUAAAUCUUGUGUUGACACUAGUCAAUGGAGAUGUAACUCCAUUGAAACCUUCCUCACAAGUCUCAGAACUGGUCAUCCCAGCACUAAUCCAUGUAUUAACAUCAUUAUAAGCCUUAGCAUCAACAGCAGCCGUUGAUUUCUUAAUCUGAUCAAGAGCGCUCUGAUAGACCUCAGAGCAAUCUGUUAAAGCCUGCUUUACAGAUGCAUCUGAACUUGUUUCGAGCAAUUUGGGGAUGAGCUUCAAUACUUCAUUGGCGCUCAAUGAUGCUAUGUCAAGUGCACUUUUUGUCAAGCUUUGCAUGUCACUUGCUGGGGCUGAUCCUAAAGCUUCUUUGCAGAAAUCCUUGUAUAAGGUUUUGUCACAGGAUUGAUUUAACAAUUCUGAGGCUUGGUGACUAGUAGAAAUCAUGGCAAAAAAUAGGGCAAAGAAAAAGAUUUUCGAAGACAUGAGGUUUCGUGGGAUUUUUCUCUCUCGCCAAAUUUUCUUUAUUUGCCUUCUCGUAUAUGUGUCAAUGAAAAGUAAAAAAAAAUGUGGAGAACCAAUUAACAGGUAAAAAUAACAGAAUAAUCUAUUG
rnacentral:lncRNA from 1 species